GUGGCAGCCGCCGCGGUAAUACGGAGGGUGCAAGCGUUAUCCGGAUUCAUUGGGUUUAAAAGGUGCGCAGGCGGAUACUUAAGUCAGUGGUGAAAUCCCGGGGCUCAACCCCGGAACUGCCAUUGAUACUGAAUAUCUGGAAUACGGUUGAAGUGGGCGGAAUGUAGCAUGUAGCGGUGAAAUGCAUAGAGAUGCUACAGAACACCGAUCGCGAAGGCAGCUCACUAAGCCGAUAUUGACGCUCAGGCACGAAAGCGUGGGGAGCGAACAGGAUUAGAUACCCUGGUAGUCCACGCCGUAAACGAUGAUAACUCGUUGUUGGCGACACACAGUCAGCGACUAAGCGAAAGCGAUAAGUUAUCCACCUGGGGAGUACGAUCGCAAGGUUGAAACUUAAAUGAAUUGGACGG
rnacentral:rRNA from 1 species